rnacentral:rRNA from 1 species
UGGGGAAUAUUGCACAAUGGGCGCAAGCCUGAUGCAGCGACGCCGCGUGAGGGAUGACGGCCUUCGGGUUGUAAACCUCUUUCAGCAGGGAAGAAGCGCAAGUGACGGUACCUGCAGAAGAAGCGCCGGCUAACUACGUGCCAGCAGCCGCGGUAAUACGUAGGGCGCAAGCGUUGUCCGGAAUUAUUGGGCGUAAAGAGCUCGUAGGCGGUUUGUCGCGUCUGCUGUGAAAACGCGAGGCUCAACCUCGCGCCUGCAGUGGGUACGGGCAGACUAGAGUGCGGUAGGGGAGACUGGAAUUCCUGGUGUAGCGGUGGAAUGCGCAGAUAUCAGGAGGAACACCGGUGGCGAAGGCGGGUCCCUGGGCCGUAACUGACGCUGAGGAGCGAAAGCAUGGGGAGCGAACA